rnacentral:rRNA from 1 species
UACGUAGGGUGCAAGCGUUGUCCGGAAUUAUUGGGCGUAAAGAGCUCGUAGGCGGUUUGUCGCGUCUGCUGUGAAAACCCGAGGCUCAACCUCGGGCCUGCAGUGGGUACGGGCAGACUAGAGUGCGGUAGGGGAGAUUGGAAUUCCUGGUGUAGCGGUGGAAUGCGCAGAUAUCAGGAGGAACACCGGUGGCGAAGGCGGAUCUCUGGGCCGUAACUGACGCUGAGGAGCGAAAGCAUGGGGAGCGAACAGG